rnacentral:pre_miRNA from 1 species
AUUACCUAGAGAUCUUGUUAAAAUGCAGAUUCAGAUUCAGUAAGCCUGGGAUGGAGACUGAGAUUUUGCCUUUCUAACAAGCUCUCAGGUGAUACCCA